UACGUAGGGGGCUAGCGUUGUCCGGAAUCAUUGGGCGUAAAGAGCGUGUAGGCGGUCCGGUAAGUCCGCUGUGAAAGUCGGGGGCUCAACCCUCGAAUGCCGGUGGAUACUGUCGGGCUAGAGUGCGGAAGAGGAGAGUGGAAUUCCUGGUGUAGCGGUGAAAUGCGCAGAUAUCAGGAAGAACACCCGUGGCGAAGGCGGCUCUCUGGUACGUGACUGACGCUGAGACGCGAAAGCGUGGGGAGCAAACAGG
rnacentral:rRNA from 1 species